UUCUGGUUGAUCCCGGCAGAGGUCACUGCUAUCGGGGUUCGGUUAAGCCAUGCGAGUCGAGAGGGUUCGGCCCUCGGCGUACUGCUCAGUAACACGUGGAUAACCUGCCCUAGGGAAGGGGAUAACCCCGGGAAACUGGGGAUAAUACCCUAUAGGUUACGAAUGCUGGAAUGCCCUGUAACCCAAAGUUCCGACGCCCUAGGAUGGAUCUGCGGCCGAUUAGGUUGUUGUUGGGGUAAUGGCCCAACAAGCCCGUAAUCGGUACGGGUUGUGGGAGCAAGAGCCCGGAGUUGGAUUCUGAGACACGAAUCCAGGCCCUACGGGGCGCAGCAGGCGCGAAAACUUUACAAUGCGGGCAACCGUGAUAAGGGAACCUCGAGUGCCCGUAAAUGCAGGCUGUCACGGUGCCUAAAACACACCUGAAGAAAGGGCCGGGCAAGACCGGUGCCAGCCGCCGCGGUAAUACCGGCGGCUCGAGUGGUGGCCGCUUUUAUUGGGCUUAAAGCGUUCGUAGCUGGGUUGUUAAGUCUCUUGGGAAAUCUGGCGGCUUAACCGUCAGGCGUCUAAGGGAUACUGGCAAUCUUGGAACCGGGAGAGGUGAGGGGUACUUCGGGGGUAGGAGUGAAAUCCUGUAAUCCUCGAGGGACCACCUGUGUGCAAGGGGCGUCACCAGAACGGCUUCGACAGUGAGGCACGAAAGCUGGGGGAGCAAACCGGAUUAGAUACCCGGGUAGUCCCAGCCGUAAACUACGCGCGUUAGGUGUAUCGGUGACCACGAGUUACCGAGGUGCCGAAGGGAAACCGUGAAACGUGCCGCCUGGGAAGUACGGUCGCAAGGCUGAAACUUAAAGGAAUUGGCGGGGGAGCACCACAUCAGGUGGAGCCUGCGGUUUAAUUAGACUCAACGCCGGGAAGCUCACCGGAUAAGACAGCAGAAUGAUUGCCGGGCUGAAGACUCUGCAUGACCAGCUGAGAGGAGGUGCAUGGCCGUCGUCGGUUCGUACUGUGAGGCAUCCUAUUAAGUCAGGCAACGAGCGAGACCC
rnacentral:rRNA from 1 species